rnacentral:lncRNA from 1 species
GCCAAACACACUGAGCCACGUACAGCAUGCUCAUGCUGCGAGGCUCCCCGGAUGAAGAUGACACAGUAGGGUUGUGCGGUGUCAGGUAGAUGGCGACACUGAAGCCUGCAAUGGAGGCAGGUGUUGCUUUCUUCUGAUCUCCUCAGAGAUGCUGUGUGAUCUGAUCUGAGUCAGGAGAGGAGUAGACAUUAUGUAAAUGACAGAGCGGAAGGAGGAUUGGCGUGAGAGAGGUCACUGGCAAGGACGCAGAGACUCACCAGCCCUUCUGCCCACAGUGAUCCUUUCUGUGACUGAACGUUGAUGAGUUCCAUCUUGUGCCGGCCUUGUGUGACAAUCACAGCUGCUGAGAGUUCAAGGGUGCAAUGGCAUGGUAAACAUCUGCAAUGCAGAAGACUACACAGUAUGAACAGAAAUGAAGCUGCAAAGAAGACUCCGAGACCAGACCAGCUUGCCUAGACAAGGGAGAAUCCAGAUGCGCUGCCUGGAAGAGGCUUAGGCUGGACAGAAGCACCUGGAAAGGACACUCUUCAACCCGUUGAGCCGCAGUGAGGCUCUGAGAAGGGACGUAGGGUGGUCUGAGCAAUUUAAAGCAUGCAGCUUUAUAGAUGAUGUCACACUAUGAGCAGUGGCCAAAUCUCUGCAAGGGUCACUGCUUCAUGAGAAUACUUUUCCUUGGGAGAUGUGACACACGCUCCAGCGAGGGAGCUCAAGACGGAAGAAAGCAUAGCUACCACAGAAGCCCAACUGGGUGGACCAAUGCGCUUAUUGGGGUUACUUAUCGGAGCACAAAAGACUCAAAGACAGCUGUAUUAGCAAUAUCCAAAAACAGGGCUGGGAACCCGGAGCACCAUCUGUCGGUCUCCUCACCAGAACCGUUUCUUUAAUGCCAGCCAACCACGUCAGCUCUGGAUCAGUUGCGGCGCCGACUUGGUACUCAGUCCCCCAUCUCUGGUUAGAAAUGGGAGAGCAGCCAUUGGAUGCUUCCCGAGACUCUGCACGUAAGCGGCCAUGAGUGAGCCCACGUGAAUAGCCUAGGAACAGCUUCGCUCUCCUGUUCUGAGCCCCAUGCGGAUGCAGAGCACAGGUGGCCAGCGUAUUUUCACAUGCUGCUCUGCCCUGGACCUUGGAUCACACCCUCGCUACCCUUCCAUCAUAAUAUGGCUUCCUCUUCGUGCUCGGUCGUUUCCAGUUGAUUCUAGAAGGUUUCCUGGGUUUUUCUGCAGGUGUUCGUGCAGCUGAUGGAGUAGACAGUUAUUCUUCCCCCUUAAUUUGUUUAGCUCUUCGUGCAGUAGAUUUCAUACUAUGUGUAUAUAUUUUAAAAGGUUUAUUUGUUUUGGCAGGUUUAUACUCUACCAUCGUACUAUGUCAUGAGCACAUCACAAUAUAAAGUGGUCCCUGCAAUUAGGUUAGCAGUGGCUAUGACUUCAAAAUACUUGGCUGCUUUAGAGGUUUUGACAGCGUGAACAAAGUGCUCCCUUUGAGCGCUGUCACCUAGGGAUGGAUGUGUUUGUGGCAUUCACGGGGCAGAAGUGAGGUAAGACAACCACAUCUCCCUAUUAUGGUGCCAGAUAGAGUCUGCCCCUCCUUGAAUUUAAAGACUAGUACAGUUGGAAAACGCCACACCCGCCUGUUGUUUGUUGAGCGCUAAUGACUGAACAUGCCUUUGAUCUUGUGUCUCUUCUACACCUGAACUUGGGUUUGUAUUGCAAGUAUGUACACACUGGUAUGUCUCAGUCAGUGUUCUGUGUACUGAAGAGACACCAUGAUCACGACAAUGAUUACCAAAGAAAGCAUUUACUGGAGGCUUGCUUACGGUUUCAGAGGUUUCGUUCAUUAUCAUCAUGGUGGGGAGCAUAGUGGCAGACAGGCAGACAUGGUGCUGGAGAAGGAGCUGAGAGUUCUACAUCUGGAUCCGCAGGCAGCAGAAAGAGAGAGAUCUUGGUCAGAGCUUAGUAUUUUGAAACCUCAAAGCCCACCCCCGAGUGACACAGUCCCUACAACAAGGCCACACCUCCUAACCCUUUCAAAUGGUGUCACUCCCUAAGAAUUCAAAUAUGAGAAACUGCGAGUCCAUUCUUAUUCCAAGCAGCACACAGUAUUUCUAGUGACUUCUUGGAGACGAUGCAUUACUCUGUGUAUAUCUUGACAUGUCUGAUACUUACCAAGCUGAUUAAAAUUGCCGUUCUAACUUU